rnacentral:rRNA from 1 species
CGUGACUGGGGCGAAGUCGUAACAAGGUAGCCGUAGUAACCUGCAGAAGGAUCA